AUGGGCUUUAUCUACAUUUGAAGAAGCAUAUUACAAAUUGGCUCUUUUUUAGGGUUGGAAACUUAGAAAGGUGUCGGCUGCUGAAAAUUUGCGCGCUAGCCUGAAAAGGUUCGGAAGUCAAACCCCUGAAUGAAAUACUGCUGAUAUUCGCCGUCCAGAGAAAUGAAAAAGCCUAUAAUUUCCAGACCGGAGGUUUAGGAGAGUGAGAGAGUGGACAUUAGCAUCAUCUUCUUCCAUGGCUAGGAGCUGUAAGCUUCCGGUUACUAGGCAUUUCUUCAAGGUUAUUGUGGCUGGUUUCCGAUCCAAACUCGUAUGUAUCCUCUCUCAAUUAAAUUCUUCAUUGUAUACUCUCAUCCCCCCUAACUUUUUUUGUU
rnacentral:lncRNA from 1 species